rnacentral:piRNA from 1 species
UAGAUUGAUAUGGUAUACGGUGUAGCAUC